rnacentral:tRNA from 1 species
AGCUGGGUAGCUCAGUCGGUAGAGCACUGGUAUGGUGUUCCAGAGGUCGCAGGUUCAAACCCUGCUCCAGUCA